rnacentral:rRNA from 1 species
CUGAAGCUUGGUGCUUGCACCGAGCGGAUGAGUUGCGAACGGGUGAGUAACGCGUAGGUAACCUGCCUCUUAGCGGGGGAUAACUAUUGGAAACGACAGCUAAUACCGCAUAAAAGACGAUAUCGCAUGAUAUUGAUUUGAAAGGUGCAAAUGCAUCACUAAGAGAUGGACCUGCGUUGUAUUAGCUAGUUGGUGAGGUAACGGCUCACCAAGGCAACGAUACAUAGCCGACCUGAGAGGGUGAUCGGCCACACUGGGACUGAGACACGGCCCAGACUCCUACGGGAGGCAGCAGUAGGGAAUCUUCGGCAAUGGGGGCAACCCUGACCGAGCAACGCCGCGUGAGUGAAGAAGGUUUUCGGAUCGUAAAGCUCUGUUGUAAGAGAAGAACGAGUGUGAGAGUGGAAAGUUCACACUGUGACGGUAACUUACCAGAAAGGGACGGCUAACUACGUGCCAGCAGCCGCGGUAAUACGUAGGUCCCGAGCGUUAUCCGGAUUUAUUGGGCGUAAAGCGAGCGCAGGCGGUUAGAUAAGUCUGAAGUUAAAGGCUGUGGCUUAACCAUAGUACGCUUUGGAAACUGUUUAACUUGAGUGCAGAAGGGGAGAGUGGAAUUCCAUGUGUAGCGGUGAAAUGCGUAGAUAUAUGGAGGAACACCGGUGGCGAAAGCGGCUCUCUGGUCUGUAACCGACGCUGAGGCUCGAAAGCGUGGGGAGCAAACAGGAUUA